rnacentral:rRNA from 1 species
GUAGGGAGCAAACGUUGUCCGGAUUUAUUGGGCGUAAAGGGCUCGUAGGCGGUUCAACAAGUCGGUCGUGAAAACCCGGGGCUCAACCCCGGGACGCCGGUCGAAACUGUUGUGACUAGAGUUCGGUAGAGGUGAGUGGAAUUCUCGGUGUAGCGGUGGAAUGCGCAGGUAUCGAGAGGAACACCAUUAGCGAAGGCGGCUCACUGGGCCGAUACUGACGCUGAGGAGCGAAAGCGUGGGGAGCAAACAGGAUUAGAUACCCUGGGUAGUCCACGCCGUAAACGAUGAACACUAGGUGUGGCGGACUGAUUCAUGUCGGCUGCGCCCGUAGCUAACGCAUUAAGUGUUCCGCCUGGGGGAGUACGGCCGCAAGGCUA